CUAUGCAGAGCCAUCUCAAAGAACUUGGUUACAAGUAAGGGCUUGGCUAUACUUACAUUUUAAAGCGUUCUAACUUGCUGGCUCAGGGGUGUGAAAAAUCACCCUCCUGAGCGCAGCAAGUCAGAGCACUUUAAAGCGCUAAAGAGCUCUUGUGUUUGCUCUGUAG